rnacentral:rRNA from 1 species
CACUCCUACGGGAGGCAGCAGUGGGGAAUAUUGGACAAUGGGCGCAAGCCUGAUCCAGCCAUGCCGCGUGAGUGAUGAAGGCCCUAGGGUUGUAAAGCUCUUUCACCGGUGAAGAUAAUGACGGUAACCGGAGAAGAAGCCCCGGCUAACUUCGUGCCAGCAGCCGCGGUAAUACGAAGGGGGCUAGCGUUGUUCGGAUUUACUGGGCGUAAAGCGCACGUAGGCGGACUAUUAAGUCAGGGGUGAAAUCCCGGGGCUCAACCCCGGAACUGCCUUUGAUACUGGUAGUCUUGAGUUCGAGAGAGGUGAGUGGAAUUCCGAGUGUAGAGGUGAAAUUCGUAGAUAUUCGGAGGAACACCAGUGGCGAAGGCGGCUCACUGGCUCGAUACUGACGCUGAGGUGCGAAAGCGUGGGGAGCAAACAGGAUUAGAUACCCCUGUAGUCC